rnacentral:rRNA from 1 species
UGGGGAAUUUUGGACAAUGGGGGCAACCCUGAUCCAGCGAUGCCGCGUGAAUGAAGAAGGCCUUCGGGUUGUAAAGUUCUUUCGCCUGUGACGAUAAUGACGGUAACAGGAGAAGAAGCCCCGGCUAACUCCGUGCCAGCAGCCGCGGUAAGACGGAGGGGGCUAGCGUUGUUCGGAAUGACUGGGCGUAAAGGGCGCGUAGGCGGUUGAUCAAGUCAGGCGUGAAAGCCUUGGGCUUAACCCAAGAACUGCGUUUGAUACUGGUUGACUGGAGGACGAGAGAGGAAAGUAGAAUUCCGAGUGUAGAGGUGAAAUUCGCAGAUAUUCGGAGGAAUACCAGAGGCGAAGGCGUCUUUCUGGCUCGUUUCUGACGCUGAGGCGCGAAAGCGUGGGGAGCAAACA